UACGUAGGUGGCAAGCGUUGUCCGGAUUUACUGGGUGUAAAGGGAGCGCAGGCGGCUUUGCAAGUCUGAUGUGAAAGGCCGGGGCUCAACCCCGGGACUGCAUUGGAAACUGUAAAGCUAGAGUGCCGGAGAGGUAAGCGGAAUUCCUAGUGUAGCGGUGAAAUGCGUAGAUAUUAGGAGGAACACCAGUGGCGAAGGCGGCUUACUGGACGGCAACUGACGCUGAGGCUCGAAAGCGUGGGGAGCAAACAGG
rnacentral:rRNA from 1 species